CGUUCAGCUCACCUGCAAACAGGGCCGAAGAGCAGAAUCCCCAACCGUGGAGAGCUUCGUUGGGGCAAGAUAAGAACAGAAGACCCGUGUGGGAAUACAAAUCUGUUCUUUGGGGUGGAGAAAAUGUUGUCACGUAGGUAUCAUUAUUAAUAGCACUCUUUUACUCUUAGAAGUGUCCUGGUUUGGACAGGAAAUUCUACUGGCAUCCUACCCAGCAGGAAACCUCAGGGACACGGUGACAAGGAGGAGAGUGAGAGGAGAAUAACUUAAAUUUGCCAACUGUUCCACAACAUGGCCUGGUUUCAACUGCAGAUGUCACCCAUCCUGUUGGAAAUUUAGAGGGAUCGAGAGACUUCCUAAAAGAAGCAACUCUGAAUAACAUUUUGGAAUGGGGAAUCUGAGAGUCUUAUAUAACCAAGGUUAAAAGAAACACCAAAGAUCAUCAUCUCAUUUCACCAGUGAGGGAAAUGAGGCCCAACAUGGAUUUCGGGAUGAGAACACUGAGGCACAAAGCAGUCAAGCAGGAAAUCACACAGCAAGUAAGGGACAGAACCAGAAUGUGAGUCUGGCACUCUUGACUCAAGAACCUUCUAUCAUAACCAUGCUGCAUGCCAUGUCCUGAGCUCUUGGGAGCACCGUCGUUCACAUGUAAUGUUUAUCUGUCCCUGUGAGACUUCUCAGGCAUGCUCCCUUCUCUUAUAGCUUUAGAUUUUAAUACUAACAAUACCUGGAUAAAGCACUGGUUCGAGAGCUUUAUAUGCACACAUGACUUUAUCUAUCCUCACAACUCCAUGAGUCCCAUUUUACUGAUAAGGAAACUGAGGUUGAAAGAAGGUUAAGUACCUAGUCUUGAUACCAGAGAGGUAGUAAGUGACAGAGGCCACAUUCAAAUCCAGACCUUCUGAUUUCAAAGUCUGAGCUCUCCUUACUAUGACAGUGGAUCCCAAACUUCAGUGGGUACCCUGGGAAUCUUUUAAGAAAGGAGAUCUCAGCCUCUACUCCCAGAUUCUGAAUCAGUUGAUCUGGGGAAAUCCCAGGAAUCUGUCUUCUUGAACUUUCCAGAGUAGAGGACUGUACUUUGCCAACCUCCACCUCGCCAUAUUGCCUCUAUGACUGCAACAGAUCAGAUAUAAACUGGUCAGUUGGAUUUUAGCUCUGACAUCAUCAUAUUGCUCAAGCCUGCUCUCUGGUAUUGCAUGGUAUUGCUCACUGUACUGGCUUCUUACAUUGCGGAUGUUCCCCUUCCCAAUCUCUGCACACAGCCCUGAGAAACAAGGUAUCUGUGUUGUUAGUUGGAACACUUUUCAUUGCAAACGACAAAAAAAAAAAAAAAAAAGCAAUUAAACAAACUUUAGCAAAAGGGGGAUUCAUUGGCUCAUGGAACUGAAGACUCCAGGGGUAAAUCUACCUUUAGGUAUGGCUUGAUCCAGGUAGUCAACUGGUGUCACCCAGAAUUCGUCUCUGUUUACUUUUCAGUUUUGUUUUCCUCUUCGUUGGCUUCAUUCUCAGGUCCAGCCUCCCCUCAAGAGCUGAUGGCCAUCUGAAACUUCAAGCUCCUAUUCAUGUAGUUUCACGACUCUUGCAGAAAGAUGGAACCUCAUUUUCAAUUGUUUUGGCAAAAAUCCUGAGGCCAAGUCUCAUCAAGCUCUGUUGAUUUAAAUUCUUAUUCUUGAAUGAAGCAUUGUGGCCUGAGGGUGUAGAAUAUUCCAAUUGGCUAAAUUAGGUAGGUGGGGUGGGAGGUGCAGGGUCAGCCUGACUAAAGGCACAUGAAAUGAGCCUGAGGGAGAGUUGGGCCCUAAAAAAAAAAAUAAAUAAAUAAUGAAAUACA